UCUGAGGGUCCAGGGUUCAAGUCC
rnacentral:piRNA from 3 species